rnacentral:rRNA from 1 species
UCUUUUUAAAUAACAGGUUGAGAAAGGGCCGGGCAAGACCGGUGCCAGCCGCCGCGGUAAUACCGGCGGCUCGAGUGGUGGCCACUAUUACUGGGCUUAAAGCGUCCGUAGCUGGUCUGUUAAGUCUCUGGGGAAAUCUUCCGGCUUAACCGGAAGGCGUCUCAGGGAUACUGGCAGACUAGGGACCGGGAGAGGUGAGAGGUACUCCAGGGGUAGGAGUGAAAUCCUGUAAUCCUUGGGGGACCACCUGUGGCGAAGGCGUCUCACCAGAACGGCUCCGACAGUGAGGGACGAAAGCUGGGGGAGCAAACCGGAUUAGAUACCCGGGUAGUCCCAGCUGUAAACGAUGCGCGUUAGGUGUAUCGGUGACCACGAGUCACCGAGGUGCCGAAGAGAAAUCGUGAAACGUGCCGCCUGGGAAGUACGGUCGCAAGGCUGAAACUUAAAGGAAUUGGCGGGGGAGCACCACAACGGGUGGAGCCUGCGGUUUAAUCGGACUCAACGCCGGGAAACUCACCGGAUAAGACACGCUGGAUGAUAGUCGGGCUGAAGACUCUACUUGACUAGCUGAGAGGAGGUGCAUGGCCGUCGUCAGUUCGUACUGUGAAGCAUCCUGUUAAGUCAGGCAACGAGCGAGACCCACGCCAACAGUUGCCACGCUCGUCCUCCGGGAUGGUGGGGACACUGUUGGGACCGCCUCUGCUAAAGAGGAGGAAGGAAUGGGCAACGGUAGGUCAGCAUGCCCCGAAUUAUCCGGGCUACACGCGGGCUACAAUGGGUGGGACAAUGGGUAUCGACACCGAAAGGUGAAGGCAAUCUCCUAAACCCAUCCUUAGUUCGGAUUGUGGGC